AUGUACCCUGCCGAUCUCAUAAACACUUGCCAUAAGCGAAAAACCCCCGCGAUGGUGCUAAAACUAGACUUCAGGAAAGCCUUCGAUUCCGUGUCCUGGCACUCCCUCCUCCUUAUCCUGCAACAUCGGGGCUUCCCACAUUUCUGCUCAUGGAUAAACAAUCUACUCACCUCUGGUAAAACUGCUGGCAUGCUAAAUGGUGUGCAGGGGGACUGGAUCAACUGCAAGAAUGGCUUGCGUCAGGGUGAUCCCAUGUCUCCAUACCUUUUCCUCAUAGUUGCUGAUGUUCUCCGGCAACUCAUAUUAAAAACGGCUGCCUCCUCUCCUGACCUAUGCCACCCAAUCUACCCCGAUCUCCCCCCUGCCAUCCUGCAAUACGCGGAUGACACGCUAAUCAUAGCUCACGCUUCUUCUAACACCGCCGUCACCAUUCGAUCUAUCCUAGAGCAGUUCGCUCAAGCCACAGGACUGCGAAUUAAUUUCUCCAAAACAACUUUCGUCCCUAUGAACCUGGACGAGGCGACCUCUCUUGACAUCGCACAAGCUUUGGAUUGCACGGUUUCCUGCUUUCCUCAAACCUACUUGGGUCUACCUCUCUCCCUCGUUAAACUUACUGCCGCAGCCUUCCAGCCAAUCAUCUCGAACUGUGUUAGCUACCUUCCUGGCUGGUGUGCUAAGCUACUCUCUCGCCCAGGUCGCCUGGUCCUCAUCUCCUCUGUGCUCGACUCGUUGGCCACCUACUACAUGUCUGUGUUCAAACUGCCAAAAGAAACAAUCAAAAAGCUAGACGCUAUUAGACGUGCGUUUUUUGGGCUGCUGAUGAGUCCUGUUCGGGUUCUCAGUGUCUUAUUGCUUGGUCUAACAUCUGUAAACCAAAAGAGUUUGGUGGUCUAG
rnacentral:rRNA from 1 species